GCAUUGGUGGUUUAGUAGUAGAAUUCUUGCCUUCUAUGUGGGAGACCCAGGCUUGACUCCAGGCCAAUGUA
rnacentral:tRNA from 1 species